rnacentral:rRNA from 1 species
UGAACGCUGGCGGCAGGCCUAACACAUGCAAGUCGACCGGUAACAGGAAGCAGCUUGCUGCUUCGCUGACGAGUGGCGGACGGGUGAGUAAUGUCUGGGAAGCUGCCUGAUGGAGGGGGAUAACUACUGGAAACGGUAGCUAAUACCGCAUAAUGUCGCAAGACCAAAGAGGGGGACCUUCGGGCCUCUUGCCAUCGGAUGUGCCCAGAUGGGAUUAGCUUGUUGGUGGGGUAACGGCUCACCAAGGCGACGAUCCCUAGCUGGUCUGAGAGGAUGACCAGCCACACUGGGACUGAGACACGGUCCAGACUCCUACGGGAGGCAGCAGUGGGGAAUAUUGCACAAUGGGCGCAAGCCUGAUGCAGCCAUGCCGCGUGUAUGAAGAAGGCCUUCGGGUUGUAAAGUACUUUCAGCGGGGAGGAAGGGAGUAAAGUUAAUACCUUUGCUCAUUGACGUUACCCGCAGAAGAAGCACCGGCUAACUCCGUG